CUUUUUGAAAUUCUUGUUCUAUGCCCAAAUUAAAAAUUAUAAACAUUCCUAGCCAUGAACAAGUGCUUGAUUGACAAAGCUGUAUCAUUCUAUUGGUAUUAGAUUAUGACUUGUAAAAGGACAUUC